rnacentral:tRNA from 1 species
GUUUCUGUAGUGUAGUGGUUAUCACGUUCGCCCUCACACGCGAAAGGUCCCCGGUUCGAAACCGGGCAGAAACA